UUAAAGUCACCUGGUGGCUCACCAAGGCAAGAGCAGAGAUGACCCAACUGUGGACUGUUAGAACUGACAGGAAACGGAAAGUAACACUUUCUAGAAUCUAGUGUGCACACCUGGGGAAAAGGAAGACGCCUUCUCAGAGCGGGAGCGAGGUACGCGCGUGUAAGUGCAGAUGCCGGCGGAGGCCGAGGCGACAGAUGGCUGUGAGCUGCCAGAUGUGGCUUCUCAGAUGUGGAACGGACCUCAGGUCCGCGGCAAGAGUAAGCGCUCUCAACUGCUGAGGAAGCUCUCCAGCCCAACAUUUCACGUCCCUUAGAAAGAAAAAGGCCACGAACUCGCUUCAGCAGUGUGGAACGAAGAUCUCACGCAAGCGCUCCACCUCUGAGUUACACCCUGUUUCUACCUGGUCUGUAGCGGAGACUGAGAAGCAUCCGUU